rnacentral:rRNA from 1 species
UGGGGAAUAUUGGACAAUGGGGGCAACCCCGAUCCAGCAAUGCCGCGUGUGUGAAGAAGGCCUUCGGGUUGUAAAGCACUUUCGGUGGGGACAAACAAGGCGGAGCUAACAUCUCCGUCCCUGAUGGUACCCAAAGAAGAAGCACCGGCUAACUCUGUGCCAGCAGCCGCGGUAAUACAGAGGGUGCAAGCGUUAAUCGGAAUUACUGGGCGUAAAGCGUGCGUAGGUGGUUUGUUAAGUCAGGUGUGAAAUCCCGGGGCUCAACCUCGAAAUGGCGCUUGAUACUGGCAGACUCGAGUGUGGUAGAGGAUAGUGGAAUUCCCGGUGUAGCGGUGAAAUGCGUAGAUAUCGGGAGGAACAUCAGUGGCGAAGGCGGCUAUCUGGACCAACACUGACACUGAGGUACGAAAGCGUGGGUAGCAAACAGGAUUAGAUACCCUGGUAGUCCACGCCCUAAACGAUGGGUACUAGACGUCGGGAAGCUUGUCUUCUUGGUGUCGCAGCUAACGCAAUAAGUACCCCGCCUGGGGAGUACGGUCGCAAGAUUA